CAGUCGGGGCCUUUUCAGAGGUGGCUGGAUCUUUAAUGUGUGGCGCUGGGUUUGAUUAGGAUCAAGGGCACUAGGUUUAAAGAUGUGAGCGCUACCUAUUCUAGGUAGCCUGAAUAAGAUACAAGGGAAAGAAAAGGCCGUGGUUGUCCCUUGUGGCUUUGCUACCUUCUGCCUGCCAUGAGCUGUUUCUCCUCUGCGUGCUUACCUACCCUGCUGCUCUACCUUGGAGCCAGUAAAUUUUGGACUGAAACUUCUACAAACCCAAAGUAACUGAAGUAGUACAGUGCUGCACUAGCCUAAAGAAGCUAAACUCUGAGACCUAAAGUCUUAUUUGAAGGUUGCUCCAGAAACAAAAUACACUCCAAAGAAGGCUCUCCCUGUGUGUCCUGUUACUAUACAUAGCAUUUAUAGGACAAGGAGGCUUCAACUCCAACUCCGGCAGAGAAGCCCACAGAGACUGCAAGAUUUCCCAUCUCCCAGGAAACUCCUUUUACAAGGGGAAUCGCUCAUUGACAGAUCAGCCCUGGAAGACUUCAGGGCUAUGUGGCUUGGCUGACCCAGGAACACCUCAUAAAGAAAACACUCAGCUCCGAUGGUGUCUCUUACUGGCUGCCGUUCUCCUCCAUGCAUGUGAAUUUUAAAUACCACCACACUCUCUCUGGGUGAUCUGUUGCAAUUUCUUCAAACUGAAGCAACAUCAAUAAUAAAAGCAGCACUAUGAUGUGAAGAGUAGUCACAAAACCGGGCUUAACCCUAUUUCUUCACUUGGAUCUUGAUGGCAAUAGAAAAUGAGAAUUUAAUUUCUCCAUGAAGAAGGAAAAAAUUAAAGGAAAUUAUAACUGGUGCUCAGUAUUGGUCUACGUUGCUGACUGGUUGGACAUUCAAAGGUAGCAGUAACUGAGUCAGACCAGUAGCCUCCAAUCCACUGUGGCCACUUCAUUCAUCUGUCCAUCAUGCCCACCUAGGGUGGCUGAUGAUGAGGUCUGGCUAAUACCAAGUAGUGUACAGUUCCUGUGCUGGCCAACUUGUGCUUUGUUAGCAAAUGUAACAUUAAUUGGAAACUGGACUUCCUGCUGGCGAGACACACAGAAGGAAGCCCGGGUGCACCUGGACUCAGGCUCCCCUCCGGGAAGGAUGCUGGAGCCAAGACUUCAGUGAUUAAAUAAGCUCCUGGCAAGAGAGAGAAUAAGAGGAUGGAAGAAUAUUCUAGACACCGACAGCACUGGCAAAGAACAGAGGCAUGAAAAUAGGGCCCGGCCAGCAAGAGCACAGGAUACAUGACAGAGCUGUUACAGAGCCUCGAUGCCUGGCCUUAGAGUUUUCCUGUUCUUUUUUGAACCACCACACCCACACGCCACAACUGACAGUGAAAAAGAGACAGAAGGACAGACGCAUCCUAAUGACAAGAGACACGUGCCUUCCUGUUUCUAGUGACUGCCGUCAUCAGAGGAGAGGACCAGAGCCCUGGACGGAAGAACCAAAGUUCAUGAGAGACUAUUCUCAGAUUUCUCCCUUUUCUAUUUAAAUACAUCAAACUGGAAAUUCAUAACUUACUCUAAAAGGGUGAGGACUGAUCAAAAAGAACUGAUCAUUUAAAUUAACAACCAGACUCAGGCAAUGAAAGAAUCUGUUUCCAAAAGCAACAUCAUUCCCCUUCCGUUUAUCUCCUAAAUCAUGUGCAUUUGAAACUCAUGUUUUUAUUUCAGAAAAAAACUUUUGAGCUUCCUUGCUUUUUUUUCCAUUCUGAUUAUCACCAGAUGCCUUCCGUGGCUCUGGUGCAUUGGAGGUUUUACUUUUUUCUUUGCACUGAUACUCGAGCCUUGGAUUGUUUGUCUUUGCCUUGGACCCGUGUGCAGGGACUCAGUUUACCAGCACUCCUAAGCUGUCUGCUGAUGACUGAUGGCAGCCAGCUUCCAGGAGGAAAUCUCUCUGCUCCCCUGCUCUCUCCCAAGGGUAGUGAGGUUGCAUCCUUCUUUAUUUCCUAAGGACCUGGAGUGGCAGGGCAGGUUCCCAAUUGGUACUGACCCUCUCUCAAUGGUUAAGGAAUCCCCGUGGGCCAAGAGAUGCCAGGCAUGGCCACUAGUAAUUCCCUAUUCUUUCCACUGCCUCCAAGCUCUCAUCCGCAUCCCAGGGGAAGAAGUCCAACUACAUCUUUCUGUAACAGUUUUUCGAUAUUCACAACACUGAUGACCUCUAAUUUCUAAGGCUUUUCCACACACCAACUAGGUAUCCUACCACUCAAUUCUGAUACUACUUGAGAUUAGCCCAGACCAUAUAUGUUAAUGGCUCGGGCCUAAAAAAUUGUCCCCACCCAACUUCAGAAUCAGCCUCAAAUCCAAAGACUUGGAUUUUACUAUAAUGCUUUGUGUAGUUAAUUUGGUUGAGUUUUUACAGCUGACGAACUUUGCAAAGUUGAUAUAUAUAAAAUAUAAGAUCUGAAAAAACAGGUACUCUAAGUAUGAUUAUGGAAUUCUUGAUUGCCUUGAGAGUGCUCUUGGUUUCUGUGGGCCUGCAUCCCUAUGAGUAAUUCUUCAAUAACUUUUCUUUGUUGGAACACAUGUGAAACAUUUCUUCUUACACUGUGUGGUGAGAUCAUAAGGCCCUGGUGCCAACGCAGUUACUACAGAAACAUCCAGGAACAGCACAAGGUCACACUGACUGCAUGAAUCAGACUUAGGUAAAAUUCUAAAAUUAUGUGAAUGAAAGCAUAAAGUCUAGAUCUCUACAUCUCUUGAGAUGAGUGUGAUUAUCUUUGUUUCCAGAAAAGGUAAGUUAGCACAGAGAGGCGAAGCAGUGUAUGUGUACUGCACAGUGAAUGUUAGAAAGAUGUGAGACCUAGAACUUGGUCUCCUGACUCUAAUCUCUAAUCUCUGUCCCCUCUAGGAGAGUUUGUUUUUUGUUUUCAAGCCUGACUGAGCAAACCAAGGUAGAACUAUUGAUUCUUUCUUUUGGGAUUCAACAAGUUUAUCUGUGAAGCAGAGAAAUGAACUAGUAGUCUAUGGGGGCAUUUAUGACAAGCUAUUGUGGAUUUUUGGGUUUUCUAGUAAUAAUAAUAUAUUUUAGAGCCAAAUGAGAAUCUUAGAUGUGGAAUUAUUCCCUAUGUAUGGAGAGAAUUUUCAUUUGGAGCUAUCAAGAAAUGAAUAUCAGAUGAACUUCAGAGUACUGUAUUUCUGAUUUGAUAAAUUAAUAAGAGAACAUAGUUGAUAGCAACUGAUUUUUUUCUACUGGGAAAUCAAAUCUACCAUCCAUGCCCAUAUCGUAUAGAACAUCUCACAUGUGUGAUGAGAAAGGGGCACAGGAUUCGGCCUGAGUUUUUGUGACAGGACACUGGUAAAUAAAAGGAAGUACAAUCCUUAGGUAAUAUUAGUUAUCUUUUAAAGUGUUAUACCUAAGUGUAUGGGCUUCAUGGGAACACUUUAACUUAGAAAUGUAAACAGGGCUGUGUUAGCUGCAAUAUAUACAAUAUACUACUUAUAUCAUAAAUUUGAGAAUUUAUAGUACAUAAAACAACUUUAAUGAUGAAUUCAAUAUUUAAUAAUUGGAAAUGAAUGUUGAACAAUUAUUCUUUA